rnacentral:rRNA from 1 species
UCCGUAGGUGAACCUGCGGAUGGAUCAUUGACAAAACCUGCCAAGGCAGAACCACUCGCGAACAUGUUAACAAAAUCAAUGCAACUGCAUGGCAUGCUGGCGUACCCUUGGGUUCCGCCGUCGCUCCCGUGCAGUUGACCGCCUUUUAGAGGGCAACCAAACCCUAGCACGAGUCGUGCCAAGGAACACGAACGCAACUAUCAAGGGGUGCUUCACCCCCUCACAUUUUAAACAAAACAACUCUUGACAACGGAUAUCUAGGCUCUUGCAUCGAUGAAGAACGUAGCGAAAUGCGAUACUUGGUGUGAAUUGCAGAAUCCCGUGAACCAUCGAGUUUUUGAACGCAAGUUGCGCCCAAAGCCUUCUGGCCGAGGGCACGUCUGCCUGGGCGUCAUAAUUCGUCACCCCUCGCCAUACCCUCGGGCAUAUGGGUUGGGUGGAUGGUGGCUUCUUACGUCCUCUAGUCGCGGCUGACCGAAAUAAGUUAGCCCUAAGGGAUUGCCUACAGCGGCCUAGGUGGACUCAAUGUCCCUCUAACUCUGUCGCGCCAAGCGUGCCAACGGUGCUACUAGCCCCCCUCGUAUUUCCCCUUGUGGGAUCUACCCCAUGGUGACGCUAGGUCAGGUGGGACUACUUGCGGAGUUUAAGCAUAUCAAUAAGCGGAGGA